rnacentral:lncRNA from 12 species
GUCAGUGGCUCAGGGCAAUACCGAUUUUUCAGACGCCACGAGAGUAUCAUCUCAGCGCUGUAGAGAAUCUAUCCUGCCCUGAUUUCUCGCCAAAGUAGGCAGUGGAGUCCAGCUAAAUUUAGCCCGCCGCUGUGGGGCGAAGAGGUGGGCUGGAUUUCUACCUGCGCUCACAUGUGCCUCUGCGGGCCCUCAGGGCUGAGGCAUUGCCACCUCUUAACUUCCUAAUUGCCUUGAGGAGUGCAAAACUUGUAUGGACAAUGUAUUUGAAUUGCAUAGAUUGUUAUAUGUGUUUUAUUGUUACAGGUAUGCUGUGCAGGGACUGUUCACAGUCUAAAUCAUUCUCAUCAGUGUUGUGAAGAGAGUUAUGUUCCAGCUCUGGGAGUGUGUGUUGUGGAGGUCAGUUUGUCCAGCCUCUGUCUCAACACCAGUGUUGUGGAGGAUAUUACGUACUUGUCCCACCAGUUAUUUACUGCAUUGAGCAAGUUAGGCUGCAUAAUAUAUACGUAAAAUAUACGUCACAAUAUUUCUUCCUUUUUUUAAACAUUCUUUUGUUUUACAUUACAUACUUUAGUUAAUUGUUCUAUAUGUGUUCGAAGAAGAGGUCUGUUGUCCGGACUCUGAGGAACGGUGUGUAUCUGUAGGUCUCGGGGACUCAUGCUGUGGUGGGAGUCCUUUCAUGUCUGGAGCCGGGCAGAUCUGCUGUGGGGGGCGUCUUUAUGAUGGCUUCAGCUCCCAGUGCAGUGGAGGACAGCUAGUUCCUAGAGAGACAGUGCUCUGACCAAGGGAUGCCCCAUAAACAUGUAUCAGGAUUCAUCUGCUGUGGAGAGCACUAACACAUCCACUUCCUGGUGCUGCAUGGGUCCCGGCAUAGAGUCUAAAGUCCACGUGCUGGAGAACAGGACGGCGUCGCUGAAGUGCUGCUGGUCAGAGGUGAUUGAUCAGGAGGAAGAGUGUUGUAAUGGAGUGGGCUUCAAUCCGCUCACAUCUGUGUGUGCUGACAGAGCCCCGGCCAGCAUCCUCAUCCCGGUAAUUAACACUUUCACUCAGAGUGACAUAUUCACUGUAUGCUCGUUCAGCAAUAGUUCUUCAGGAUGAAGACUUAGUGAAGACUUU